AGUCUUAUCGACCGGAAGGGAUUCCUUCCGGUCGAUGAGGUAAAACACCCUCAUCGACGGAAGGGAUUCCUUCCGUCGAUGAGGUUGUUAUACCUCAUUGACCGGAAGGAAUCCCUUCCGGCCGAUGAGGUA
rnacentral:miRNA from 1 species